UGGGAAACGGGUUAAUAUUCCCGUACUUCUUACAAUUGCGAUGGGGGGACGGAGAAGGCUAGGUGGGCCUGGCGACGGUUGUCCAGGUUCAAGUGCGUAGGCUUAAGAGUUAGGUAAAUCCGGCUCUUUCUAAGGCUGAGACACGACGUCGAGCACCUACGGGUGUGAAGUCAUUGAUGCCAUGCUUCCAGGAAAAGCCUCUAAGCUUCAGAUUGUAAGGAAUCGUACCCCAAACCGACACAGGUGGUCGGGUAGAG
rnacentral:rRNA from 1 species